UAUUAAUAAUAAUAAUAAAAUGAUAAUAAACAUAAUAAUAAUCAUAAAUAAUAUAGUAAUAAUAGUAUAUAAAUGAUAAUCAAUAAUAAUAAUAUAAUAAUAACAAUAUUAAUAAUGAUAAUAAUAGUGAUAAAAAAAUUUAAAAAGAAAGAAGAAAAAAAAAAAAACAAAAAGAAAAGGGUGUGUAGCUCGGUGACAGUAAUAGAAAGAGGAAAAGAUUUUAACACCCCCAUUCAGACGUUAACACUUGGCAGGGGGAGAACAAAAAUUAAAAAAACUUCUUCUUCCUUGUUUCAG
rnacentral:lncRNA from 1 species